rnacentral:rRNA from 1 species
GGGGGGACCUGAAGUCGGUAACCGCAAGGAGCCGCCUAGGGUAAGACCGGUAACUGGGGCUAAGUCGUAACAAGGUAGCCGUAUCGGAAGGUGCGGCUGGAAUACCUCCUUUUUAGAGC